rnacentral:rRNA from 1 species
CCAGUGAAGACGAGUAGGGCGGGGCACGUGAAACCCUGUCUGAACAUGGGGGGACCAUCCUCCAAGGCUAAAUACUACUGACCGACCGAUAGUGAACCAGUACCGUGAGGGAAAGGCGAAAAGAACCCCGGAGAGGGGAGUGAAAUAGAUCCUGAAACCGUGUGCGUACAAGCAGUAGGAGCUCGAAAGAGUGACUGCGUACCUUUUGUAUAAUGGGUCAGCGACUUACUGUUCGUGGCAAGCUUAACCGUAUAGGGGAGGCGAAGGGAAACCGAGUCUGAUAAGGGCGCAUAGUCGCGGGCAGUAGACCCGAAACCGGGUGAUCUAGUCAUGGCCAGGGUGAAGGU